rnacentral:rRNA from 1 species
AGAACGAACGCUGGCGGCAGGCCUAACACAUGCAAGUCGAGCGCUGUAGCAAUACAGAGCGGCGCACGGGAGAGUAACGCGUGGGAAUCUACCUUUUGGUUCGGAAUAACACCGGGAAACUGGUGCUAAUACCGGAUAAGCCCUUCGGGGGAAAGAUUUAUUGCCAAAAGAUGAGCCCGCGUUGGAUUAGCUAGUUGGUGAGGUAAAAGCUCACCAAGGCAACGAUCCAUAGCUGGUCUGAGAGGAUGAUCAGCCUCACUGGGACUGAGACACGGCCCAGACUCCUACGGGAGGCAGCAGUGGGGAAUAUUGGACAAUGGGGGAAACCCUGAUCCAGCCAUGCCGCGUGAAUGAUGAAGGCCUUCGGGUUGUAAAGUUCUUUUGACAGGGAAGAUGAUGACGUACCUGUAGAUAAGCUCCGGCUAACUUCGCGCCAGCAGCCGC